AACGAACGCUGGCGGCAGGCCUAACACAUGCAAGUCGAACGCCCCGCAAGGGGAGUGGCAGACGGGUGAGUAACGCGUGGGAACCUACCUAGUGGUACGGAACAACUCGGGGAAACUUGAGCUAAUACCGUAUACGCCCUCCGGGGGAAAGAUUUAUCGCCAUUAGAUGGGCCCGCGUCGGAUUAGCUAGUUGGUGAGGUAAUGGCUCACCAAGGCUUCGAUCCGUAGCUGGUCUGAGAGGAUGAUCAGCCACACUGGGACUGAGACACGGCCCAGACUCCGACGGGAGGCAGCAGUGAGGAAUAUUGGACAAUGGGCGCAAGCCUGAUCCAGCCAUGCCGCGUGAGUGAAGAAGGCCUUAGGGUUGUAAAGCUCUUUCGACGGGGAAGAUAAUGACGAUACCCGUAGAAGAAGCCCCGGCUAACUUCGUGCCAGCAGCCGCAGUAA
rnacentral:rRNA from 1 species